CCCCUAGAUGUUCUGGGCCGCACGCGCGCUACACUGAACAGUUCAACAAGUCUUAACCUUGGCCGAUAGGUCUGGGUAAUCUUUGAACGCUGCUCGUGAUUGGGAUAGACCUUUGCAAUUAUGGGUCUUCAACGAGGAAUUCCUAGUAAACGCAAGUCAUCAGCUUGCAUUGAUUACGUCCCUGCCCUUUGUACACACCGCCCGUCGCACCUACCGAUUGAAUGGUCCGGUGAAAUCUCGGGACGGCGGCUUGGUCGCUUGCGUCCGACUGCUGAAACUUGAUUAAACCAUAUCAUUUAGAGGAAGGUGAAGUCGUANCA
rnacentral:rRNA from 1 species